CAAUCAAUGAGUUCUAUGUUCUUCUUUUUUUACUUGGUACACUUCUGAACCAACUUCUCCCUCCUUGUUUUUCUACCUUGAAAAAAGUCACUUCGAUAAUAUUGUCGAUUUUGUUGUCCCUUCAGAAGCUAAAAUGGUCUAAGUAACGUAUUGAGAGCGUAUAUUAUUAGAACCGAUUCGUGCAAUAAGACUCAUAUACAAUUGUGUUUGGGUUGUUUUAACAUAGAGACGUCGUGGUUAAUAGUUUACUUGCACAAUUUUAAACAGUGAUAUAAAACAUCUUAAUGAGAGUAACCUAGUAUGCGACUCAACCUAGUAUUUGUUUCGAAAGCUAAAAAAUUAUUUUUAAUUGUUUUUUUAAAUAUUAUUCCAACAAUUUUAACACGCUUUAAUAUUCCCUAACUAGCAAAGAAAUCAUUGGCUCUCGUUACACUAUUCCCAACUACAACAAAUUGUUUAGAGUUCAAAAGAUGUUAUUUUUCAUAACAACAAAAAUGGUUGAUAAUAUUCUAAAGGGUAAGAUCUAUGUAGUUCCUGAGAUAGAUGUUUUUUAUUACACAAUUUUCAACACUUUUUUUUUAUUGGUUGAAAUUCAUACAAGUUUUACCAAAUUUAUAUGGGCCCAUAUGAUUUAGUGGGACUCAUGCGAAUUGUAACCAAUCAAAGAGAGUGUGUGUUAAAAUUUGUGUUGCUAGCAUUACUCCGUUGCAAAACUGCACAAUAUAGAAAAACUUGUGUUUAACUCAUCCUAUACGCACAAGUGGAAUGUCAACAACACACAUUUUAACUUACUAUCUUUGAUUGGUUAAAAUUCACAUGAGUCUCACCAAAUCAUCUAUGCCCAAAUAAAUUUGGUGAAGCUUAUGUGAAUUUUAACCGAUCAAAAAGAGUGUAUUAAAAAGUGUGUGGUAAAAUAUAUGUUGCUAACAUUUCUCAUAUGCACAAAGAUGAACGAAUAGCACAUACAUGUCUUGAAAACAUGUGUCGUGUGUGUAUUCAUCAAAGACUCAUAAAUCCUUUGAAAGUUUACUAACAAAUUAAGAUUUCAGCCUAUAUUAUUCGUCAUGUAAACAUAGGGCUUGAUGGAUGUACAUGUAAGAUGAGUUAAAC
rnacentral:lncRNA from 1 species